rnacentral:lncRNA from 1 species
GAAACCUUUAUGGUAGGAACCUGCCUAUGGUAGGAAUGUCGGCAGAGAGCGACACGUGUUGGGGGUAAAAUGGUCCAAACGGAGACGUUAAAUUGUCGGAGAGCGCGUGCAUAGGGAAUCAAGUAGAAGCGUGUACGGAUGGAAGCAAACAGCAGACUGACUUCCGUACUAUGUUAUUGCAAGUCUUUCCUUUGUACCAAAUAUUUGGUGACCCCACUUCUUCCCCAUAGCGUCUGAAUUAAGCUUCAACUUUGGCUUUCCAUUAUUGAAGUUCGGCUUCCACUAUGGACCCGAAUACCGAAUGACACAAUGUAACUACAUUCAUUUUAUAUUUAUUUUUACAUUACAUAUGCAUGUCAUUCUUUUUAGUGGUUGCACCUUAUAUUCGUGAA